UAUUAAAUUCUCUCUAUAGGUAACAAGCAUAUCUGCAAAUCUGCCAAAGGGACUUAUAAAUGUUAGGAAGAAAAAUAGGAGGAGGAUGAGUAGGAACAAGGGUUACCUGCAUAGAGCAACAAAUCACUCACAGAAAAGACCAAAACUGACCAAGUCUGUCAUAGGCAUAGGUGUGUUGUAGGUGCUGGAGCGUGUCCAGAGAAGGGCAACAAAGCUGGUGAAGGAUCUGGAAUACGAGUUUGGAGCUGGCAGUGUGUAUUGUGGAGAAAAGGAGGCUCAAGAGAGACCUUGUCACUCUCUACAGCUCCCUGAAGUGAGGUUGUAGGUACUGGUUUCUUCUCCCACCAGCAACAGGACAAGAGGAAACAGCCUCAGAGUGUUCCAGGGGGUGUUUAAAUUGCAUGUUAAGAAAAAUUUCUUCACUGAAAGGGUUGCUGAACAUUGGAACAGGCUGCCUAGGGAAGUGGUGUAAUUACCAUCCUGGAAGUAUUAAAAGAAUGUUUAGAUGUGGCACUUGUGGACAUGGCAGUGACAGGGUAAUGAUUGAACCUGAUGAUCUUAAGAGUUUCUUUUCCCAGCCUAAAGCCUGUUCCAGACUACAGCUUCCCUUUCUUCCAGUUACAACCCAAAUGCUGGUUUUGAGGGAGCUGCUCUGAAAGAGACUGCAGGACAGCAGCUUCUCAAGGACUGGGAUGAUCACCUACUAACUAAUUUAUAUUCCAAGAUUUGAUUACUAAAAAGGAGCAAUGAAGUACUCUAAGUCUUGAAACCUCAGAAACUUGAAAAAUUGUAUUGCUUACUGACAGCCAUGUCUGCUAGCAACUCACCUGGAGAUCUUUCAGGUUUGUAGUUUAUGUGAUUCCAGUAACCAGUAAAAAGAAGCAAGAAUGUGAAAUUCCUCUCAGCAUUUGCUCAGCCAUACAGCUCUAUUGAACCAUGAGUUGGCCUUCCACAUGUAGCCAAAACAAGAAACCAUCUGGAUGACAUGCCAGAAUGGAAGACUAUGUGAAUGCAAAUAAGAUAAUGUUUUGUUAUAAUAAUCAGAUCAUUAGCAUUUCAAUAAUUCAUCCUUGCAGCCAGCUUUCAGGUGACUGAGUAAGAAGGGCAAUAAUGUUACCUUUUGUGUCUUGCGCUAUCAGGUAAUUGUGCUCUCAAUUAGCUGGCACUGCACAGAAGCAUAAAAAUGUAUGCAAUAUAUGCUUGUUUCAGUUAAGUGGAGACCUGCGCCAUAACAAUUUGUUAAGAGUUUGUUUUAUGCAGAGUGGUCUUUACUAGCAGCUACCCUGUAAUGGUGAUGCUCCAGAAAAGAGCCUGUGAUUAAAACAGGUUCCUACCAAUUUUAAAUAUCUUUUUCAGUAGAAUAAUACAUGAGAGUGAAGAUAAAUCAUGUGCAUUGUACAUUAAAUUGAUAUAAUAUUUAAUUCAAUAAAUGAAGCAAUUAAUAACUGAAUAACAUCCUGUUGAUUGUGGGCACUGCAAAAAAGAGUAUGGCUGAAGCACCAAAUAGCAGAAGCUUAACUCCCCUCUGACAUAUUAGUUUAAUGAAGAAUAAUGCUAAACAGCUUUUCAAAACUGAGUUGUGGAAGUGUAAAUCAUAGAAUGGCACAAAAAACUUGCAGAAUACUACAUCAAAACCCCCAACAUUUCUAUUAUUUGAAGGGAAAGAUUUAAAUCAUUCCUUUCUCUUUCUCUGUUUCUUCAUUCAUUUUGACUUUGCACAAUGUUCUAUAGUAUCUCUGUGACUUCUAUACCUUGUCAGAGCUGUGUCUGAUAAGAUAAUGUGUCCAUUGACACUCAUGCUGCCUUAAUAGAUUUAAUCUACUUUUGUUUCUUUACUUUCUUUCUUCUAAUCUAGAGAACCUGGGAAAAAAAAAAAAAGGAUUAGGUUCUAUUCCUUCACCCAUGCUUGUUCUGGGGGGCAGGUGAACAGUUUUUUACAACUUGCAGUAUAAACUGCAGCUACAAAAAAAACCCAGGAUAGCUAACUGCCUGCGAGAACGGAAAACAGUGGAGCUGUAACAGCAAAUUUGAGACAGAAUAUUUAAGUUCCACCUUUAUACAGGAACUCUGGUAGCAGUUAUACCUCUAAAGUCUGUGAAGGAUGAUGGUAUAUAGUGUAGGUGAACUUCAAACUGAACACAGAUUGCACAGGUUUUUCUAAGUGUUCAAUCUGACCAUAUAAUCUGUUUUUUCUCUAUUAAGAAGAGAUAUUAGUUUAUUCAUACAUGUCAUAACUCAGAAAAAUUUUGCCUGUGAAUAUUGAGCUUUUAUGCUUUACUCCAUUUCAAAGUAUUUGGAUUUUUAAAAUUUGUUUGAAAAGUAUUUAUUAUUCUUUUGUAAUUUGUCAUUCUUUUCUGUUCCUUGUCUGAAUGGUUAACAGAGGAGAAAAAAUGGUGAU